rnacentral:rRNA from 1 species
UACGGAGGGUGCGAGCGUUGUUCGGAAUCACUGGGCGUAAAGCGCGUGUAGGCGGCCAUUUAAGUCUGGUGUGAAAGCCCUGGGCUCACCCCAGGAAGUGCACUGGAAACUGGGUGGCUGGAGUACCGGAGAGGAGGGUGGAAUUCCUGGUGUAGCGGUGAAAUGCGUAGAUAUCAGGAGGAACACCGGUGGCGAAGGCGUCCCUCUGGCCGGAUACUGACGCUGAGACGCGAAAGCGUGGGGAGCAAACAGG